UACGAAGGGGGCUAGCGUUGCUCGGAAUUACUGGGCGUAAAGCGCACGUAGGCGGUCUUUUAAGUCAGGGGUGAAAUGCCAGGGCUCAACCUUGGAACUGCCUUUGAUACUGGAGACCUUGAGUCCGGGAGAGGUGAGUGGAAUUGCGAGUGUAGAGGUGAAAUUCGUAGAUAUUCGCAAGAACACCAGUGGCGAAGGCGGCUCACUGGCCCGGAACUGACGCUGAGACGCGAAAGCGUGGGGAGCAAACAGG
rnacentral:rRNA from 1 species